rnacentral:lncRNA from 1 species
AGUGUCCAGGGGACUCUAAGGGAGCAAACAACCUGCGAUGUUCCAGGCCCCCAAGGCUCCCUCUGCUCAGUUGCUGCCUAGUGCUUCAGAGGGGUGCUUCCUCCACCCCAAAGGAAACUAAUUAGAAAGUCACCUGGUCUCUCACCUCUGGAGGAAAAACCACCUCCCAGGACCAAGCUCCUACAAUUGUUCAACUAGCCAGUUCAGAUACCUUUGUCCAGACCAUACCCCAAAACUCCUGAAACAAGGGGAAGAUGCAGUCCAUAUUGCCUGGCUUGAAGACACAGGCAUCCUAAUACCUAACAAGUCAUCCUGGAAUAUGCCUUUCCUGACUAUGACGCAGCCUGGGACCUCUGAUUCUCAAGGGUCUGAUUCUUUCAAAGAAACAGGUGUGCACUGCCUUGGACCUGAAAGAUGCAUUCUUCAGCCUCCCAUUGGCAGAGGUGCUUGUCAAUGACUGUCAUGAGAUGAAAGCUGAAACCAGAGAAACAGGUGUUCACUGUCUUGGACCUGAAAGAUACAUUCUUCAGCCUCCCAUUGGCAGAGGGUCUCAUACAGUCCAGGCUGAUCUUGAAGUUGCUAUAUUGCUGAGGAGGGUGAGUUUCUGGUCUUCCUGUCCCUACCUCCAAAGUACUGGGAUUACAGGUGUGUGCCACCACAGUUGACUGUGCAGCUGAAGCAUCAAAUCUAAUGUGUUUCUUCCUGUUUGCUGAGCUGUUUCGUUGGGCCUCAUUCUUUAUUUCCUCACACUUGGAGCUUGGCACAUUUCUGGUCAGGAGUGCAAGGGACCAAAUACCACCAGGGAAUCCUAAGGUGUGUUCUCUACCCAGAAUCCCUUUCUCUGUGACCUAAAAUUUCCUGGGAGAAGAUCAUCUUUUAUGCCUCUGUCCCUCUCACUGGUCUCUUCUGGUCACUGUGCAAGAGCAGUUGACUGACAGCCUAAAGCUGCAGUUCCUUCAUGAUCUGCAGCAGAGACCACUGUCUUCUUGGAAAGCCUCCAGCUAUUGACAGAAUAACUGGGUCACUAGGACUUGGCUGAUUGGGUCCAAAUGGGGCUAGUCUUUGCUGGCUGAGACCUGCUAUCCUCCUCUUAUAUGUCUCUCCUUUACCUCUCUUUCCAUAGAUGUCAGAGCUGAAACAUGGCCUGAAAAGUUCCCCUGCCCAGUUCUACAUCCUCUCCUUUUAUCUUUAUCCAAGUAUUCCCUCCAGUAAAUCUCUUUUGCUUCUAACUCUGUCUUGGCAGCAGCUUCCUGGAGGAGCCAACUGACACUAGGCUCCAGCCUCU